AUUAAGUCGUGGUUUACAGAAAAUCAACAUUGAUCGUUUUGUUGACGAAUUGUUGCAACUUAUUUUACUCUUUUUGAAAAAUGCACAAGACGAACAGUUGCACUGGCCUUUAGCUGAGUACAUCAAUGCAAAGCUUGAACAAGAUGGUUGUGAUAUUAUUAAAGAUCUUGAGGAGAGUUCAUCCGAUGAAAUUACUGUGGCACAUGCUUCUGAAGCUUGGAAGCUUGCAUGUCAGAAAAGUGAUGAUUACAAUUCAAGAAUGUAUUGAUUAAGUGGACAAUGUUUUUAAUGACGAUAAAAUGCUUGAAAUUCUCUAACUUGAUAAUGUUCGUUUAAUUUCAAGCGAGAUUUAGAAGGCAUAGCUAGGUAUUUUUCAAACCAAUUUACUAAAAUAUCAUCAUAAAAUUACAUGAAAUACAGAAAACAAUUAUCAUUUACUAUGAAAACAUCGGAGAACAUUAGUAAGUAAUUAAAAACAGUAUAUCAUUAUUUCUGUCUUUAUUAACCUUUUAGCAAUGUGCAUGUGUGACGUUUAAACACUGAAUUAAAAUGUUCGUUGUGUUAUUCUUACUAAUCUAGCGUAAAUAAAGUCAAAAUCUACCAUUUGCUCCAA